GCUCGAGUGGCGAGCGGGUGAGUAACACGUGAGUAACCUGCCCUUGACUUUUGGAUAACUUCAGGAAACUGGGGCUAAUACCGGGUAGGAGCUCCUGCUGCAUGGUGGGGGUUGGAAAGUUUCGGCGGUUGGGGAUGGACUCGCGGCUUAUCAGCUUGUUGGUGGGGUAGUGGCUUACCAAGGCUUUGACGGGUAGCCGGCCUGAGAGGGUGACCGGCCACAUUGGGACUGAGAUACGGCCCAG
rnacentral:rRNA from 1 species